GACGNGGAAAACCUGCCGUAUACUGGGGGAUAACACUUAGAAAUAGGUGCUAAUACCGCAUAAGCGCACAGCUUCGCAUGAAGCGGUGUGAAAAACUCUGGUGGUAUACGAUGGUUCCGCGUCUGAUUAGCUAGUUGGUGGGGUAAUGGCCUACCAAGGCAACGAUCAGUAGCCGGCCUGAGAGGGUGAACGGCCACAUUGGGACUGAGACACGGCCCAAACUCCUACGGGAGGCAGCAG
rnacentral:rRNA from 1 species